UACGAAGGGGGCUAGCGUUGUUCGGAAUUACUGGGCGUAAAGCGCGCGCAGGCGGUCUUUCAAGUCAGUGGUGAAAGCCCGGAGCUCAACUCCGGAAAUGCCAUUGAAACUGUAAGACUUGAGGAUGAGAGAGGUGAGUGGAAUUCCCAGUGUAGAGGUGAAAUUCGUAGAUAUUGGGAAGAACACCGGUGGCGAAGGCGGCUCACUGGCUCAUAUCUGACGCUCAGGCGCGACAGCGUGGGGAUCAAACAGG
rnacentral:rRNA from 1 species